ACUUCCGGGCCCCCGCGCGCGCCUUGUAAGGGAGCCGUUUGCUGCUGCAGGUUUGUGUUUAAACAGAUGAGGCGACACAGGCUUUUAGGAAUGCAGACACUGGAGCGGGAAUAACUCAGGAGGUGUAAACACAGUUCCACCUUGUCCCCGUGCGUCCCUCCAACUGGGACUGCAGGUCAAGGGCACUUGAGCGCACCGGUUCCGGAGGAGACGCUGGGCCGCGAACCGAGUGCUCAGCGGACGUGGGCUGGGAGGAUGUGUGACCGCGCGCCCGCCAGGGCGGCUGGAGAGACAUGCGUUCCGUGGACCACCAAAGAUCUCAAAUGAUCCACUCUCUUUUUGGAUACAACCUGUACCGCACUGUGAGCUUCACUGAUAGUCAUGGGGCGUCUCACUUGUAUUUCUGCUGCGACACAGUUCGGCUUGCAACCUGCUGUACCGCCAGAGAAGGACCGGGGUUGGAGAGGGUGGAGUUGAUCCUUCGCCAGAAGAGGCCACCCUGAAGAUCCCUGUCCUCCCCUCCGGGUUCUUCGUCGCGGAGCAAACCGUGUGUGCCUUAAGGGCAGAGACGUCUGAAGAAGCUCUCAGGACUUUUCCAAUUGGACGACAGUUAUGAAGGCUGUUCCUCCAAACCUGCUCUGGAAACGGGAGAAAGCAUCCAGGGAGAGAGAGACGACGAUGAAGAGGAAACCUGAGUGUGAAAGAGGAAAGGACAGUAAGCAAGCGAAUGUCAGCCAUGGCUUCUCUGACUUUCUUCUUGGAAUUUCGGGGCAACAAACAAAACUGAGGAGACCUCAGGGUGUCCACUCGCCCCUGCGAGGAGAUGACUAGUUUCUGGGCAAAAGCAGUGUGGGCGAGGGAAGGAUGCCCGAGGCCUCCUCCCCAGAGAACUGACAGUUCUUUAUUUUCAAGAUUGCUUAGCUUUAGAAUUACUAUCAGUCAGGGUCCAAACACUGAUAGAGACACCAUGCUGAUUAUUUUAAUGGAAAGAAUUUAGUAUAAAGAAUUAUGACUCAACUGUUGGAGGACUAAAAAGGUGAAAAAAAAGGUACUGAAGUAUCAUGGAGAUUUAACUGCAAGAAGCAGCUGCCAGCCCAAGGCUGAGGGAACAAAGGGAAGAGGUUGGAGGUGGCCUGCGUGGCUCAGGCCCUCCCUCUGAGGAGGAGGCACUGCCCGGUGGGACAGGAGCCCCAGGAGCUCGAAGGUCUUGUGGAUCUGGACACAGAACUCUGAGGGGGGGCCCUGCCAGCUGGUGCUGGUGUCUGAGGAGGUGUGAUGAGGCUGGUUAUGGAAGUGUUGGGAGAAUGGCAAACUGCAGCUACUGGAACCAACUGUUGCUGUCAGGGUGAAGAGCAGU
rnacentral:lncRNA from 1 species